AAGGAUCAUCACCUGGGCCCGCGGCGGCGCGCGAGCGACGCUGUGGGCCACCUUAUGAGCGCUGUGGACUGUAAGCUUGGGUUUGGCGGGGUGCGGCCAGCAUGGCCGCACGGCAGGUGCGCACUCGCGCCACGCCACACCCGCCAGCCACCCACACACACAUGACAAAACACUCACAGAAACAAAAACACAAAAUACAAACAACUUUCAACAAUGGAUCUCUUGGCUCUU
rnacentral:misc_RNA from 1 species